rnacentral:rRNA from 1 species
AGCAUCGGCUAACUCCGUGCCAGCAGCCGCGGUAAUACGGAGGGUGCAAGCGUUGUCCGGAAUCAUUGGGUGUAAAGGGUGCGUAGGCGGGAGCUUAAGUCUGGGGUGAAAUCUUGCCGCUUAACGGUAAAAUGGCCUUGGAUACUGGGUUUCUUGAGUGUAGAAGAGGUAAGUGGAAUUCAUAGUGUAGCGGUGAAAUGCAUAGAUAUUAUGAAGAACAUCAGUGGCGAAGGCGGCUUACUGGUCUACAACUGACGCUGAGGCACGAAAGCGUGGGGAGCGAACAGGAUUAGAUA